CUUCCAACCAACCAAAUUUCUGCAUUCGGGUCUUAACCAUAUUUAAGUGUUACUGUGGCUUCAAAGAAGCUAUUGAUUCUGAAGUAGUGGGUUUUGAGUGAGUUGACUGUUUUUAAAAAACUGUUUGGAUUUUAAUUGUGAUGCAGAAGUUAUAGCAACAAACAUUUGAUUUCAUAGAUCGGAAGUGCGU